GACGAACGCUGGCGGCGUGCCUAAUACAUGCAAGUCGAGCGGACAGAUUCGGAGCUUGCUCCGUUGAUGUCAGCGGCGGACGGGUGAGUAACACGUGGGUAACCUGCCUGAUCGACCGGGAUAACGCUUGGAAACGAGUGCUAAUACCGGAUAGGCUCUUGAAUCGCAUGGUUCGAGAGGGAAAGAGGCUUUCGCCUCACGGUCAGAUGGACCCGCGGCGCAUUAGCUAGUUGGUGAGGUAACGGCUCACCAAGGCGACGAUGCGUAGCCGACCUGAGAGGGUGACCGGCCACACUGGGACUGAGACACGGCCCAGACUCCUACGGGAGGCAGCAGUAGGGAAUCUUCCGCAAUGGGCGCAAGCCUGACGGAGCAACGCCGCGUGAGUGAUGAAGGCCUUCGGGUUGUAAAACUCUGUCUUCUGUGAAGAACCAUCGCGUGAAGGGAAUGCUCGCGAUCUGACGGUAACAGAGGAGGAAGCCCCGGCUAACUACGUGCCAGCAGCCGCAGUAAGAC
rnacentral:rRNA from 1 species